GUCUCCAGCGCAGUCACGAAAAAGAACCAGUAACCGGGUGAGUGCUGCUUUGAAACUUGCGAAAGCGCAAGGGAGCGAAGGAAAGUUUGAAGUUGAGAACUUACGAUCUGCAACAAGUGCAGGGACAGAACGAGGAGGUGCAGAAUCUACCGAAGGGGAUGCUGGCCACGCCGUAAAAAGGGCAAUCUCCCUACUUAAUGGGAUUUCAACUCCACCACGGGUACAGAUGGGCCUCCUGGUUUUAAGACUGACCAGAGAAGAAUUAUCCACUUUAAAGAUGAGGAGAGUGCAGAACCAUCUUGGAGACCUGUAGCCAUCUCCAACCCUAAGCCUGCCCUGGUCCACAGCAACAGCUGGCCCCC